GACGAACGCUGGCGGCGUGCCUAACACAUGCAAGUCGAACGCAGUGGGGACGGGUGAGUAACACGUGGGUAACCUCCCAUCAGAGGGGAUAACACUUGGAAACAGGUACUAAACCGAUACUGAUGGAUGGAACCGCGGGGCAUUAGCUAGUUGGUGAGGUAACGGCUCACAAAGGCGACGAUGCAUAGCCGACCUGAGAGGAUGAGCGGCCACACUGGGACUGAGACACGGCCCAGACUCCUACGGGAGGCAGCAGUGGGGAAUCUUUGGCAAUGGACGCAAGUCUGACCGAGCAACGCCGCGUGAGUGAAGAAGGUUUUCGGGUCGGAAAGCUCUGUUGUUAGAGAAGCGGUACCUGCCCAGAAAGCAACGGCUAACUCCGUGCCAGCAGCCGCGGUAAUAC
rnacentral:rRNA from 1 species